CCUACGGGUGGCAGCAGUGAGGAAUAUUGGUCAAUGGACGAGAGUCUGAACCAGCCAAGUAGCGUGAAGGAUGACUGCCCUAUGGGUGGUAAACUUCUUUUAUAAAGGAAUAAAACGAGGCACGUGUGCCUUUCUGCAUGUACUUUAUGAAUAAGGAUCGGCUAACUCCGUGCCAGCAGCCGCGGUAAUACGGAGGAUCCGAGCGUUAUCCGGAUUUACUGGGUGUAAAGGGAGCGUAGGCGGCAGUGCAAGUCAGAAGUGAAAGCCCGGGGCUCAACUCCGGGACUGCUUUUGAAACGGUCCAGCUUGAUUGCAGGAGAGGCAAGUGGAAUUCCUAGUGUAGCGGUGAAAUGCGUAGAUAUUAGGAGGAACACCAGUGGCGAAGGCGGCUUGCUGGACUGUAAAUGACGCUGAGGCUCGAAAGCGUGGGGAGCAAACAGGAUUAGAUACCCGAGUAGUC
rnacentral:rRNA from 1 species